UCUCACUCUCUUCCCAUGGACAGAAGCCACUGCGGCUGUGGCCCUGCUGUGUUUGUGGCUGUGUUCGUGCCUUGAGUCUGUUCACUACCUAUACUGGAGCUACCGAAGGAAAACGGUCAUCAGCACGGGAGAAAAAAUCAUUUCAGCAAACACAAGCCAUUUGUGUGGAACUCCAGAUCGACCCCCAAUCAAAGUCUGUGUGGAGAAGAGGAGAGAGUCGCAAGCAGCUGCCCAGAGCCCUCUUGUGCCCAGUAAGCUUCACCAGGCUGCGUGGGGGUCCAUUGUGUCUCACCCAGGACGGUCAUGGCUUGAGACACCUUCUGCAGGGAGUCGUGGAACCUUAGCCGUGAACACCUCUCCUGGUUGAGCGGCACCGAGGAUCUUUGCUGCCUCCUUAGUGGCGGCCUGGGCUCAGGGCUGAAUCUUACUUAACCCCAUGCAGAAGUGAGGAGCCACAGUGGAGGCAACGACUCAAGGACUGGGAGGGGCCUGUCCAGGAGUUGAAAGGCUGCGUUUGAAGAUAUAUUGGUUACACAGAAAGCCAGUCAUCUCCUAUAUGUGGCUCUUUGGGUAGGAAUGCUGUGCAGGAUCAAAAGUGCCAUUACUUCUGCAACUCCCCAACUGUACAAUGUUUAUAUACGGAAGCUAAAACCGUGGAGAAAGAACUGUAUCAUUCCAGGCACAGGAAGAUGACCAAGGUCAUCCUGUGAGAAGAUGUGAGAACAUGAGGAGGGAAGGCAUUGCUGUAGAGAAGAACUCUAACUACCCCAGAGAGACGAUGAAGAGGAAGGUUUAAACUAAUAUCCACCUAUGAUCCAACACACAUGAAGCAGAAGCAGGAGGGUCGCUGCAAGUCUGAGGUCAGUCUGGUCUACACAGUAAUUUCCAGGGUGAGCCUGCUUCUAACAACUCCCUCAAAAGGCUCUGUAACCCGUCCAAAAGAUGAUGUCAAGUGCUACAAGGGCCCAGAGUCAUGGCUGUGGAGGCAGCUCAUGAAUCCACCAGAGCCCAAAUGGCGACCCCGCUCCCAUUAUCCAUCUGCUCUGCUUCCUCACAAAGCUGUUAAAUACCUUGCUCAAGAAGUCCAAGAGUAGGAGAAGUAAAGGCAGCAGGAAACAGAAGGUGUAUGUGGAAGAUAACGGCUGGAAGUACACAUGAAGAGACCAUGAAGAGCAGUGUAACCGGAAGAGCGUUAUAGAUGAGAAGUGGCCAGCUGAGGCUUCCCAUAGUCAGAUUCUUCUUGACCUGCACUCUGACCAGUCACAUGAGAGCCACAUCUCUCAAGCCCAUGAGCAGCAGAUGGACACAGACUUGCAAGAAGUUCUCAGGAGCCACUGGUGGCUGACUAUGACAUUUUGGCUGCUCAGAGUGAGCUAGAGGCAUCUAUGGAUUUACCGGCUAACAAGCUCCUCGUCCCUCCUGCCUCCCAGUUCUGAAAGUGGUAUGUGAGAAUCUUCUUUCUUCAGAGCUACAGACAUGUGUACUUUCCAACAUCUGUUCAUCCUCAAGACAACAUCAUAAUGUGGCUACUGUUGCUAUUUUCACUUCACACAUAAGGACUCUGAACACCAAAGGACUCCAAAUUCAGGCCUCCAGAACCUAGGAAGGUAUUAUUCUAUGUGACCAAAAGACAUCUCAAACUCAGCUUCUAUUCUCCGGACAGACAGGAUUUGCAAGGUACUCAUGGCAAACUAAAGCAAGAGCCAGAGGCCAAAGGUUCCUCUUUGGGAUGUAGAGAUGGGUUGGGGGGGCAACAACCAAAUGUCUCCUCCUGUCUUCUUCUGGAGUCUCCACCCAUCUCCCACAAGCAUUUCUGUCUCCAUGUAGACACCUCCAUGUCAAGAGCUCAAUAUCCUCUGUCUCAGGGUCACAGGUGCCCACUCAACAAAGUGCCUCCCAUCCACCAAGCUCUGGAGACCAGAGAGGAGGCUCCUUCUCCCAGUCCCCACAGACACCACUGAACCCAUUAGUGACAUAGCUUAGUGUUCACAAAGGGACAAAUGGUGCUGGGGUCUGCCACAUACAACUGCUGUCCCCUCCCAUGCAACUGCAGAAGAACUAGAUGACGAUGGUGAACACUAGGCUUCUUGCCCUCGAUUUGUCAUUUGUCAUAGAUUAUCAGACAUUCUGCAAGUGAUUGCUAAGGACCAAGACUACAUAGAUGCCAGCAUCUUAGAAUGCUCUGGGAAGCCCCAUAUGGGUCAUCUAACUAAAAGGGGAAGGGGAAUCAUGAAAAAUUUGGUAAAGGAAUCCUGAAUGUACAGGGAUCAAAAUUUAAUUCAAAACUGAAUGCAUAAUGAAUCUGUUGCUGGCAGAUUUCACCUGUGUUGUAUCACACAACCUCACUGCAGCCUGAGUUCCAAACACAAAUGUGUGCAUUGAUAUUGUACCAUGAAUGACAUCAUAGUAUCAACACCAAGGAACACCGCCUACAAACCCACACAUGCUCAGAUUUAAGAUUAUUAUGUUAUGACCUGCAGUGAUUUUACUGUACGUACAAAGCUGUAUGCAGAAGUGUAAGUUUUAAUUAUGGAAAACAAAAUAUUUUCCUUUUCAUUUUAAUUUUUAUUAUUUUUGAAUUAUUUGUAUGCAUUGAUGUGUCUCUGUGUAUAUGGUUCUGUGCAUAUGAAUGUAGGUAUGUGUAGAAGUCAAAGGUGUUGGGUCCCCCUAGAACUGGAGUUGCAGGCAGCAAGGAGCCACCUGAGAGGAUGCUGGGAUUUGAACUCAGGCCCUGUGGAAGAGCAGUGCAUGCUCAUUAUCAGGGAUCCAACUCUCUAGCUCACAAAAUUGUUUCCUGUUUCAGCAUGGAAAUAAAAAAUUAUCAUCCCUUUGGAUUUUA